rnacentral:rRNA from 1 species
AUACGGAGGGUGCAAGCGUUGUUCGGAAUCACUGGGCGUAAAGGGCGCGCAGGCGGUUUGGUAAGUCAGAUGUGAAAGCCCACGGCUCAACCGUGGAAGUGCAUUUGAAACUGUCAGACUUGAGUACUAGAGGGGAAAGUGGAAUUCCCGGUGUAGAGGUGAAAUUCGUAGAUAGCGGGAGGAAUACCGGUGGCGAAGGCGACUUUCUGGCUAGAUACUGACGCUGAGGCGCGAAAGAGUGGGGAGCAAACAGGAUUAGAAACCCCAGUAGUCC